rnacentral:lncRNA from 1 species
AUAAAGAACAAAAAAAUUAGUUUUCUUCCAUAUUGAAACGAUCAUAAACCACAGCAUAAAAGUUACAUGUUUAGUUCUCUAACCUAUGCCAUACAAACUAAAUAUUUGAAUUUAAAACGUUCACAAGCCAAAAAUAAAUAACACAAGCUUGUUGAUAGCCAGGAGCAGAACCUUCUCAAAGUUUUAGCCAAACAUAGGAGGGAAGAGCCGCAUGCUUUCAUGAGCAACCUGCCAGAUAUUCUUCAUCUUCUUUGUGUCAUCCAAUGUCAGAUUUUCACCUUAUCUUUUGCUUCUCAUUAUCUCAGCAUGUUAUGAUGGGAAAUGAAAUGAAACUCACUAAAAAGAAAUUCUAGGCAGCAAUGUAGUUGAAGGUUUGUACCUUGCACACGUCUCCAUAUCCACGGUAUGCAACAUCUGGCUUUGGAAGAAACGCUGUCGUCGGCGUCGACGAACAGGAGAUCCGGGUUGAAAAUCAGGAACACCAUACAGAUCUGGUAAUUUUGAAAUAUAUCGUCGGUGGAAAUCAGUGAUUCGUCGGGUUUAGUGUAGGCGAAAGAGAAAUCGUCUUCAUCUUCGUUCUUCUCUCACUCACCACCGACGUCGGCGUUCUGAACACCUUAGUUCUCUUCCAUUUUCUUGCUUCUCCUUCUCUUUAUCAAAAGAUGCAGUUUUAGGGUCACUAAAUUCAAAAUCACUACUAGAACCAGCGACUUUGAGCUUGGAGUUGAAAUAUGCAGAGAGCUGCGCGUAUUCAAAAUUUGUUCUUCAAAUUCCUAUCCUAGCUAGUGAGUUUUGGGCUUGUUUCAAAAAAUUCAAACCAAACGGUCAAAACCGUAAUCUAACAUAGAAAUUAAAUCCAAAAAUCGACAGUUGAUUUUUGGGUUUAUUUUGGGUGUGUUUAUAUACAUUAAAUAGUAUAUGGUAUAUUUAUAGUUUUAUGUCCAGGAAUGGGUAUUUCACUAAUUUUGUAAAUUUUUAAAGGCUAAAAGCUUCAAAAAAAAAAAAAAAAGGAUUGACAACUAAAUAUCCCUAUAAUUUAAAUAAUACUAAUGUUAUUCAUAAUUAAUUGAAAAAAUAACAUUACAAUUAGCCUACAAUUGUUGCCGACGAGGUUUCAUAUCAUGAAAACGUCGCAUUAUAUUUGCAUUACUAAUACAAGAAAAAACAUCUUUCUCCAUGUAAACAACCAAACUAUUACUUAACCAUUGAUUCCCUAUUUUGUUAAGCAAUGGUGUUUUCACAAUAUUCAUAGCUGAAAAAGCUCUCUCAACCGAAGCAGUUGCAACGGGUAAAACCGUAAAAUUAAAGCUAAUGUAAGAAGUAAAUACACAUAGUUGUAUAACUAUGACUAAUUGACUAUAAUUUAUCAAUUAAAUAAACAAAUCAAUAUCAAAUUAUCAAUUAAAUAAACAAAUUAAUUAUAGCUCGAAUCGUGUGUUGCGCAGCCUCUUCCGCUUCGAGUUUGCUACUGAUCUUACUAAUACAGAGAGAGCUAAAUAAGAAAAAAAUGAUUAAACAAAAUUGACGUUUGCUCAAGAAAAAAAAAAAGAAAAAAGCAUCCGACUUACUUUGGAUUGGCAUACUCAAGAAGGGAAAAAAAAAUGCAGAAUUCUUGUGAUGCACGCACACUUUGAUAAAAUUGGGUGACGUUAAAUUGGUCCUUUAUAAAGGGAAUUCUCAAUCCUACUUCAAUAAGAAAUUGUGCAAGUCCUGUUAAAGCCCAAUUAAAUAAAGAAAACUCCCAAUCCCAUUUAAAUAAGGAACUGUGGAGGCCGUAUUAAAAGCCCAUGAAAUGGUAGCACCAACAGGUUUCCUUUUUUAAUUUAAUUUAAUUUAAUUUUUUUUAAAGCCAAGCUUUGUUAUAAAAAAGAAGAAGAGUGCAGCAACCCAGCAGCGCAACGCCCACUCCAUUUAGGCAUUUAUUCGAACACCUAGCGUGCGUCUCCUAGUUUAAGCAGAGAUGUAAAAUGCAGCACCUUUUUAUGAAUUGUCUGAUAAGUAGAGGUACAGUUGCACCCCCUUGCGUCUGCACAUAUCAGCCAAUAAGGACAAAGAAUAAUAAGAAAACAUAAAAGUCUCAAAACCCUAAAAUUAUUUUAACUAUAUCAAUAAAUAAAAAAAACAUAUAUUUCUAAUAUACCGCACAAGUGUUAUCUAGUUAGUAAGUUAAUACAUUGUUAGUGGUGAGCUUACUUGAAAGGUAGUAUCGUUAGUG